rfam:Zhouia amylolytica AD3 51.P278.1_19, whole genome shotgun sequence.
ACUCAACACUAUACAAUUAAAAAAGGUGAGUUUCUGUUGUAAAAGCAUGCCGUCCUAGUAACGGAUCCUUGAUCAGCGGGGUAGCCUUAAACCUGUUUUUCAGGAGUUU